rnacentral:rRNA from 1 species
AACGCUGGCGGCACGCUUAACACAUGCAAGUCGAACGGAGUUGUAUUAGCUUGCUGAUAUAACUUAGUGGCGACGGGUGAGUAACACGUGAGCAACCUGCCUCGAGAGUGGAGUAAUGUCUGGAAACGGACACUAAUACCGCAUGACAUAACCGGACCGCAUGAUCUGGUUAUCAAAGAUUUAUCGCUCGAAGAUGGGCUCGCGUCCGAUUAGCUGGUUGGUGAGGUAACGGCUCACCAAGGCGACGAUCGGUAGCCGUACUGAGAGGUAGAACGGCCACAUUGGGACUGAGACACGGCCCAGACUCCUACGGGAGGCAGCAGUGGGGAAUAUUGCACAAUGGAGGAAACUCUGAUGCCAGCGAUGCCGCGUGAGGGAAGAAGGCAUUUUUGUUGUAAACCUCUGUUAUCAGGGACGAUAAUGACGGUACCUGAGGAGGAAGCUCCGGCUAACUACGUGCCAGCCGCGGC